AGCAGUCGCCGCGGUAAGACAGAGGAUGCAAGCGUUAUCCGGAAUGAUUGGGCGUAAAGCGUCUGUAGGUGGCUUUUCAAGUCCGCCGUCAAAUCCCUGGGCUCAACCCUGGACAGGCGGUGGAAACUACCAAGCAGGAGUACGGUAGGGGCAGAGGGAAUUUCCGGUGGAGCGGUGAAAUGCGUUGAGAUCGGAAAGAACACCAGCGGCGAAAGCACUCUGCUGGGCCGACACUGACACUGAGAGACGAAAGCUAGGGGAGCAAAUGGGAUUAGAUACCCCCGUAGUCCCUGUCUCUUAUAC
rnacentral:rRNA from 1 species